UCAGGAUUUUGCCAAUAGUCCGCUACGAUCUCAUGACUGGCAUUUUGCCUUUUUAAAAAUCAUCCCCUUUGCUCUAGGAAAGACUUUGUACCUUUCCAAUCAGCUGGGCUGGCUGUUAGGACUUUGGGGUUCUUUACUUAUUUCUUUCCAGUGGCAGUGGUUAUCAUUUAUGUGCUCAUCGGAGAGAGAUAUUGACUGGUAAUUAAAACUCUGUAAAUGGCUCCUGGUGUCAACUGAUAAAGGCAUCAUUUCCAGGACAAUUCAUAGAAUGGAAGAUUAACUCAGAGAAGAGAUUCUUGUCCUGGUCUCCUCCAGCUGCAUCAUUCAUAGGAAAAAAGAAAAACAGGAAAAGAAAAACCCAAGUCAAAAGAAAAAUGGGCAAAUAUGAAAAGUCAAGCAAAAUAAAUUCUCACAUUGGUCAUGUUCAAAAAGAGGAAGAAAUUCAGGUCCAUGGAAGUGAAGAGACUUGCCCAGUCACAUAGGGAUUGGGAUAAGAUUUAAAUCAAGAAGGCAGCAGUAAGUGAUUGAAAACCCCCUAACUCUGGAGCCUGAGAAUCUGAGUUCUCAUUUCAGCUGUCUCCCAUUUGACCUUGGGCAAUUUCCUUUAACUUCUCUUGGCCUAAGUUUUCCCACCUCUGAACUGAGGGGCUUAAUCCACCUGAAAUUCUAAAUCUCUGGUCCUUUGGACCCCAGAGCCACGGUUCUUUCUGGUGACCCAUUAUGAUCUUAAGGGAUAGAUAGUGCAUUCCUAUAAAUGGUUGCCUUAAACUUCCCAAUUUGUGGCUUGUCUCUAAAUUAAGUUAAAAAUAAAACAACAGACUUUUAAGCCCUGCUGAAUGAUUUUAUUUUUUAGGAUUCUCCUAAGCCCAAAUAAUAAGUAUCGCCCUCAGCUAGUGUACAUGCCGAAGCAACCAUUCCUUUGUAGGAGGCUUUUAUGUCCUACUGGAACUUUCUUAGAUGUGUGUGUGCGUGUGCGUGUGUGUGUGUGUGUGUGUGUGUGUGUGUGUAUGUGUGAGAGAGAGAGAAACAUUAAAUACAUAUAUAUACACUCAUAUGUAUAGAUUUAUAUAUAUAUAUAAUACAUAUUUAUUGUGAGAAACAGUUCCAAAUGUUUCAUCAAUUGCCUAAUACUGUUUGUAAAUAGAUUUUAACCCAACACCAACAGCAACAAGAAGUAUCUAGGAAUAAUUUAAAUUGAGGAAACUCAAGGAAUAAUUUAAAUUACCCCAACUUUUGUGCAAUGAGUGCAUCCUAGCCAACUCAAAGAAGGCCUAGGGAAUCCAGGGUCAACUUGAAGCACCUCAUUUAUAUGAUAAUUACAAAUAAGCAGUGGCUAGUGAUUCAAGAUACAAAUCAUUUGUUCCUCUGGGACUUGUAUGUUUACUAGACGGGAAGUAUGUGAUUACGUUGUACUAAUUAGUUUCCAGGUGACAGAAAGAAUGUAGCCACUGAUGUGUCCAAAUUCAGUAACUGUACAUUCUAUAGUCUCCUAUUCCUUAUUAGAUUUCUGGUUUUUUUAUUUAAUUUUUAAUCCAUGGAAAAUCUCACCCAGGACCCUAAUAAAUUUAUGAUGUGACCACAAACAUUGAAACCAAUUUCCAUGGGGUGGGCUUUAUAGAAAACUGUUUUAUUAUUUUAUAAACUCCACCUAUGUGUCUUCUGUUGUACAGAAGCCUGAAAUGGUAACGGAUGAUCCAGAGCAGUACUUGUGUAACUUUGUAUCCCAUAUUUUCUCAUCUCUUAAGAAGAGGCUGUCAAGAGAGAAGGUAAUAGGACACAAGAGUUUUAGGAUGGAUGAAUGAAUGGAAACUAAGUUGAUGGUGGGAGUUAAUGCAUAUCAUUAAGGUCUGUUUUCACACCAAAGGUAUGAAACAUUAGUGGGCAUAAAUGUGCUUUCAGACAGAAUGAGAUGACAUUCAUGGACCAGAAGAAAAAGAGGUCUUAGAGAUAGAAGCAAGAGAGACUAUAAUAAAGGCAAGUUGAAAACACAAGGAACAAUAACAGUGAAUCGACAGGGAAGCUUGGAAGAAAGUGAAAAAUAAUGAGCAAAUGUCUUGGAAAAAAGAAGCCCGUCAUUAAACUGAGCCUAGCCAGGAAGAAAGAUGAGUAAGUUUGGUUCAGGUAGGGUGUGGGGUUUUUUCCCCUUCUGUUUCUAGAGUUCAGAAAUCCUCAUUUAAAGGGGCUGCCCAAAAGUCAUUAUUAUCUGAAAUAGAAUGUGGACCUGGGAUUGCAACCACUUCUAACUGCCACCCAGCAUUCGUCUACAUUUGUCUUCCAGGCAAAUGUUUCCUGAAUAUGUAUGACAGCGUAUUUCUGAGAAAUAAUACAGUUCACUCUUUUGCUUAAAAUACAAGAGAACUGCUAGGGGAAUGUGGAAACUGGAGGCCCCAGAAAUGGGUAAUGCAGAGAAAAUAUUGUCUCUGAGGCAGCGGAUUUGGGAGUACUGAUAAGAGCCUUGAGCAAAAAAAUGUAGAUAUUAAAACAGCUCUAGUCUAUCAUUCUCUAGGUUAAAUGUUUUGUGGCUGAUAGAAAACCUGGCUAUGACAUGAGAAAAUGAAGAUUUGUAAAAGAGUUCAUGAGCUGAUCAACCACAAGAGUGACCAAGUUUGACUGUCAGGCCAUUUGUAAUCUCCAAUGGCUUUUCUGAGGGGCAAGUCCUCAGAAUACUGUGCAAGGAAUAGUAGAGGCCACCCAGUACAAACCCUUCAUUUUAAAGAUCAAGAAACUGAGGCCCAGUGACCUAAAAUGUUGCCCAAGAUUGUGUGGUGGGAGAAUCAGGAUUUGAAUCUGCCUUUUCUGACUCCUGUCUUAGCAAAAUUUCCAUGAUUCCAUACUGCCUCGGAGACUUAGUUUGCUGAGACUGUGUUGGUGGUUUGAACCCAGCUUUUUCAAGAAUUGGCAUCCUCCUCUUGAAUACUUAAACCAAAUCUAUCAUCUAUUUUACUAAUCCUUGGCUCUCUUUUAAAGAAAUACUAGUUCUUACCUCUCUUCUAUGGAGAGAUACAGAAUACUGCAUAUAUUGAUGGAUUUGGUUAAUGUGUUGGUUAAUUUGCUGCACUACUCUGCCCUCCCUUGUCUCCUUUUCAUAUUUUCUUGGAAGGAAUGGGCUUCUGAGUGGGGGGAAGAAGGAAAUAAUAUAGCAAUAUGGUGCCUGGCCCAGAGUAGGUACUUAAUAAGUGCUUGGUGAUUGAUUGGCAUGUGAUGAUGAAAAAAUGCAAAGAUACUAAUGGAGGGGACAUUAAAUCAAGAAGAAUUAAAGUCACAGUUCCAAGUUAACUGGUGGCCAAAAGUCCCUCAGUGGAGAAGACUCAUCCCUGAAAAGACCAAAGAAGCAAACUUCACUGAGGAGAAUUUAUAUUUAGAAGCUCUUCAAGUGGCUGAAUUGCUGUUUUGAAUUUUUGAAAGGCUCCAUAGAAGUGUCUGUGUGUAAUAUGCUUGUAUUUGUGUGUGCAGUCCCCAACUUUGACAUGCGAGGCAGUCACUUCAUCCAUAAGAGAAAUAAGGGAGUCAUCUGCUGACCUGGGAACUCAGUUAGAGAAUCCAGUGUUUUAUCCAUUUGAAUGGGAGCUUGAGAAGGAAGCUUGGGAGGAGCCCUUUAUUGUGAAGGCAGGAUCCAGCAGCCCUGGAUAGUAAAAUUAUGUACUGUAAGUAGGGAAAAGGGGUUAAUUACAUAAAAAGGUUGGACUGGAUAUAUUUAAAAAUAGGGUCACCAGGAAUUUAUACUAAUUCCAAAGAGAUUUAUUUACAAUUUAUUUACAAAAUGUGGAAAGAAUGAAGAAGGAAAUCAGCGAGAGGUUAGGGUAAGAUAUCUAGCCUAAGCACUAAGUAAUUUACUCCUGGUCCCUGACUCAACGCAGGCAGGGAGAGUUACUCCUUAGGCCUCGGUAAAGCUGAGGACCUUGGGAAGUCUCUCCUGAGGCUAGUCUCUCCAGAAAUCCAAUAUGAAAGGUAUCAGCUUUUCACUCACCAUGUCUUGGGUCCAGUUAGCAGAUUCUCCUCCACCACUCCAAGUAGAACUGUUAGACAAACCCCACUCAGGAAGUUGUCACUCCCUUUUAAAGACACUUUCUCUUCCAUCACUUCCUGUGCCUUCCCCUAAUUAUACAUCUACCAAUCACAGUUGAAAUCUUGCUUUAGGACUGCCCAGGAGGCAGUCAGUUGAUUCUGAUUCAUCAUCCACUAUCACACACAUGGGUCACAGAUCUUCCCCACUCAAAUGUGAAUGGGGUGUUUACACUUUUGUUGAUUAAAUCUAAAAAUAGGCAGGGGUUACAUUUUCACAAUCAGGGGAGAGUUAAAUUUAAUAUUCACAGUUCCUAUCUAUCUAUCUAUCUAUCUAUCUAUCUAUCUAUCUAUCUAUCUAUCUAUCUAUCUAUCUAUGUGUGUGUGUUUGUGUGUGUGUGUGUGUGUGUGUGUAUACAUGGUGAAGUGAAUAAAGCACCACAUCUACAGUCAGGAAGACUCAUUUUCCCAAGUUCCCAAGUUGGACACUCACUAGCUGUGUGGCCCUGGGCAAGUCACUUAACCCUGUUUGUCUCAGUUUCCUCAUCUGCAAAAUGAGCUGGAGAAGAGAAUGGCAAACCAUUCCAGUAUCUCUGCCAAGAAAACCCCAAAUGGGCUUAGGAAGAGUCAGACACAACUGAAACAACUAAACAACCAAAAAGGUUGGGACAAAUUUAUAUAUUAUUUUUAUGUGUGUAUAAAUACAAAUAUGAAUAUAUACAUAUCUUUGUGUAUUUGUGUGUAUGCAUGUAUGUGUAUAUGUAUAUAUGCAUGGUAUAUCUGUAUGUGUACAUAUUCAUAUGUAUGUGACCUCUUGGCCACUAAUCUCUGUCCCUAUCGAUCCAUUCUCCAUGACACUAUCAGAGAAUUCUUAAUAAGGUUCAAGACUGCUCUCAAGAAUCCUCAAUGACUCACCAUUACUCAAUGUAUAUAAUAUUCCUGAGCCUGGCUUUUGAGUCUCUCAGCAAUAUGAUGCUAACAUAGGAUGAAAGACUUAGAAUUAGAAAAGUACUUACGGGUCAUCUCUCCUCAUCCUCUUGUUUUAGAGAUGAGGAAACUGAGGUAUCUCUGGUGGGUCCAUCAUCUGUGAAGUGAAGAUAAUAAAAGUGACUCCCUCAUUAUGGCAGUUGUGAGUCUUCUCUGAAAUACUGUUUGUAAAGUCCCAUGUGAACCUUAAAGUACUACAUAAAGGUGAAUUAUUGAUGAAGGGAGAGGAAUAAGCAUUUUUAUGGUGCCUGCUAUGUGUCAGUCACUGUGUUGAAUGUUUUAUGAGUAGCUCAUUUGAUCCUCACAACAAUCCCAUGCUGUUAUUAUUCCUAUUUUACUGAAAUUGUUUCCAUUUUACAGAAACUAAGUCCCAAAGCUAGUAAGUGUUGGAAGCCCAAUUUGAACACAGAUCUUCUUGUCUGGAGAGAAUCACCACUCUAUCUAAUACCACUCUAUCUAAUACCACCAAGCUGAUGAGAAUCUGCACAGCAUGCAGAGGGCAUAAGUUCCAGUCUUAUCCCUGUAUGUGAUCUUGGGGAAUUCUAGUCAACAAGCAUUUAGCAGCCACUUACUAUGUUUUAAGCUUCUUUAGGCUUUAGGACCACUGUGACAAGUGGAUUAAUCAAAUCAACAUGCAUUUAUUAAAUACCUACUCUGAGCCAGUUGAGAGACAAAUGGAUUAAUCAAGUCAACAGGUAUUUACUAAGCACCUACUAUGUGCCAGGCACAGUGCUAAGUGCUAAGCAUGUCAGGACUCUUUUCAGAACUCCCCAGGUAUCCCCUCUAUAAACUGAGGAAGAUGGUCUAGAUGGCUCCAGAUGACCGACCCUUCUAAUUCUCAAUUUGUGGUCCUAUGAGGCUUAAGGACAUCCUUAAUCUAAACCUAGAAGAGAAUUGAAAUUUCAACUAUUCCAAUCCUGCCAUCAUGCUUACAAAGGUACUGAUGUUCUGAAAUGUCCAGGCAAUCAAUCAGCAUUUGUUAAAGCACCUACUAUGUGUCAGGUACUGUGCUAAGUACAAAGAUACAAAGAAAGUAAAAGACAAUCUCUGCUUCUAAGUGCUCACAACCUAAUUGGGAAAGUGAAGAUGAGUAGAGGAAGCAUUCUAGAGUUGGUGGACAGUUGGUGAAAAGACCCGAGUCAUAAAGGUAAGGUAUUAAAAUCCAAGGUCUUUCCAGUGUAUCAUAGCUGCCUCACUAUCUUACCCCUUCCAAUAUGUCAACCAUGGAGUGGUAUCCAGGAUAUGUAUUGAUAUAAAGAAGUAGGUAGUAUGUAGCAGAUGUAACUAUUAUAAGAAGUACCAUAAGAUCAGAGAGUUAUAGGAGACUGAGGUUUCCUAUGGGUGCAGGCAGAAAUUGCCAAAGGAAGGGCUGGAGAUGUUAAUUUGCUGUAGGAAAAGGAGUUAAAAUGUAUAAUAGAAUAUAUAUUUAUCAAUAAAGCAGGUACCAUUCAUUUAGAGUGUCAGCCUGUCAGAGUGGAGAGAGAAUUGAACUCAAAUUUAGAAAAAUGGGGGUUCAAGUCCUGCCUCUCUGACACAUCCUGGCUGUGUGACUAGGGCCAGUCACUUAACUACUUAUUACCACAGCAAAAAUAAUUAGGACUAUCCAUUUUAGAGCAAAGAUUAAUUUGCAUUGGAAGAGGGCAUUUCCAUACGGAGAGUUCCCUAUUUGACUGAGACUACAAUUGCAGGUCCAGUCUAAAACCCCAAAAUGCAUUUAGCAUCCUUUCACAUGAUUGGAUUAACCAGUGGAUAUGGAUGAAUUCAAUGGAUGCCUAUCCAUUAUUAUGAAAAAGGAGGGGUGUUGAGGGAGGAGAGAGAUGGAAGUUUUUAGAAUUGUUUUUCAUCUGGAAUUAAAAGAAUAUUUCCAUAUAAUUGUAAAAGAGAAAAAGGCCUGGAACUAAAGAAUUCAAUGCUCUUUUGGGUCUCCUAAAAAAAACAACAAAAAGACUAGAGAGUCCAAUAAAGCCUUGACCAUUAGCCACUUUCUUCCCAGUAGGGGAGAAUAAUGUGGAAGCCUGCAGGGAAAACAGAGAAAGUGCAAAAGACCAUUAGCCCAGGUCCUGCAUCCAUUUGUCAGCCCAUAAAAUUGACUUUCCUUUGAUGAGAUGAGGAGUGGAUUUUUUUUAACCAGGCUUAAAAUAAGGGUAGAUGGCUAUUUAAGCCUCCCUCCAUUGGUUCCAGGGAAAUCUCCUCUUUGUCUCAGGGGACAUUUCAGAAGGUAAAGACUUCAUUAGUCUUAGCCAGGUCUUUUAUCAAUUUGUAUCUGCCUCUGGACUCUGGAAGCUAUUAUCACCUUGCUCCUGUCUUAUGAAUCAGGUUCUGCCUUAUAUUUUGAGUCAUUUUUCUCAUUGUUGAGAUGGACAAUUAGAAAAGUCGGGUUGGACAGCCUAUACUGUUCAAUGUGCCCAUGACAGGUCAACUGAAGCAGAGCAAGGAUCCCAGAAUUUGGGAUGAAACCCCUGUAGAUGUGAGUCACCUGGGGUGAGAGGGAUAAUGAAGAGUUAUAAAUUGUAUCAGAGGUGUCAGAAUCUCAGCCCCAAAGAUUUUAAGGACCCCUAGAUUAAAAUGUAAUUGGAAAUGUUUAACAAAACAAAUCUAAAUACAAUACAGAUGAUGUUGAUUUGUGGUUUUCUGAGUCAAUAUGUAGCCUCAGGGAUGAAUCUGUUUCUAUUUGAGUUUGACUCCACUGCACUGAUCUGCAUUACUGGAAGAAGGCCCUACAUUGAUAAGAACACAGAUUCCUAACAACAUUCUGAGAGAUUUGGGCAGACUACCCUUGCUUUCUUAUUUCAUCUCCCUCCUAUCUCAUGGUUUGAGAUAUGAUGGUUGUGGUUGGGAGGAGAAGGAAGUAAAUAAUAGAAUGGGACAAGAUUAUCUGAUCCAAAGGAGAACUGAGCUGGUGCUAUAGGGGAAAGAGCACUGAGUGGAGUCAGAAGACAUGUGUUCAAAUUCUGUUUUUGCCAUCUAUGACCCCUUUGGGCCUCAGUUUUUUUUUUUUAUUUGUAAAAAUGAGAGAAGAUUGUUUAUGGGCAUCUAAAGACCAUUCUAGGUCUAAGAUCCUAUAAUCUUUAACUUGCUGCCAUCAUUUUUUAAGGACCUUUAGAUCAGUUGCUUUUUUUUUUUGAAAAAUUUAGUCAAUUUAGAACACUAUUCCUUGGUUACAAGAAUCAUAUUCUUUCCCUCCCUUUCCUCCCCCCACCCUUCCUGUAGCUGAAGAGCAACUCCACUGGGUAUUACAAAUGUUCUUGAUCCAGACCUAUUUCCAUAUUGUUGGUGUUUGCAUUAUGAUGUUCAUUUAGAGACUGCAUCCCCAACCAUAUCCCCCUGGCCCCAUGUAAUCAAGCAGUUAUUUUUCUUCUGUGUUUCUACUCCCAUAGUUUUCCCUCUGAAUGUGGAUAGUAUUCUUUCUUAUAGAUCCCUCCAAGUUGUUCAGGAUCACUGCAUUGCCACUAAUGGAGAAGUCCAUUACAUUUGAUUGUAUCCGUCUCUGUGUACAAUGUUCUCCUGGUUCUGCUCCUUUCACUCUGUAUCACUUCCUGGAAGUCGUUCCAGUUCACAUGGAAUCCCUCCAGUUUAUUAUUCCUUUGAGCACAAUAGUAUUCCAUCACCAAAGGAUACCACAAUUUGUUCAGCCAUUCCCCAAUUGAAGGGCAUCCCCUCAUUUUCCAAUUUUUUGCCACCACAAAGAGUGCAGCUAUGAAUAUUUUUGUACAUGUCUUUUUCCUUAUUAUCUCUUUGGGGUACAAAUCAAGCAGUGCUAUGGCUGAAUCAAAGGGCAGACAGUCUUUUAGUGUCAUUUGGGCAUAGUUCCAAAUUGCCCUCCAGAAUGUUUGGAUCAGUUCACAACUCCACCAGCAAUGAAUUAAUGUUCCUACUUUGCCACAUCCCCUCCAGCAUUCAUUACUUUCCUUUGCUGUCAUGUUAGCCAAUCUGCUAGGUGUGAGGUGAUACCUCAGAGUUGUUUUGAUUUGCAUCUCUCUGAUUAUAAAAGAUUUAGAACACUUUUUUCAUGUGCUUAUUAAUAGUUUUGCUAUCUAUAUUCUGAAUGAUAAGUUUGAUGAUUUCAUUAGCUCCCAUAGAUUUAAUUAUCACCUGUGUGAGGAUGAUUCCUAGAUCUGUAUACCUAGCGCUGCCUUUUGGACAUCUUGAACUGAAUGUCCUGUAGACCCUUCCUACUCAGUGUGUCCCGAUAUUGAACUAAUUAUCUUCACCCACCCCCAAGUGUACUUUCUUGUUAAUUUAUUUAUUACUGACAAGGACACCAUAACUGUCUAAGUUACCAAGGCUUACACCAUUGGUGUUAUUUUCAACUCCUCUCUCAGACUCACUCCACUUAUCCAACCUAUUGCAAAGUUCUGGCAUUUAUACUUUACAACAUAUAUUGUGUGUGUCCCCUUCUCUUCAGUUGUCUACCAGUUUCUUCCAAUUCUUUCCCCACUCUAGUCCAUCAUCUUGUUAUCUGUCAAAGUGAUUUUCCUAACAUACCAGUCUGACCAUGUCACCUCUUUCCUCAGUAAAUACAGUAAUUCCCUAUUACCUCCAAGAUCAAAUACAAAGUCUUCUGAUACUUAAAUCCCUUUGCAACUAUGCCCUUCCAUUUUCCAGUCUCCAUAUACUUUAUGCCCUUUUAUUUAUUCUAUGAUCCAGUCACCUUGGCUUUCUUGUUAUUCCUCACAUAUUACAGUCCACCUCUCCAUUCCAUGACUUUUUACUUGUUAUUUCCCAUUACCUGUGAUACUCUUCCUUCUUACCUCCCCCUACUGGCUUCCCUGACUGCUUUCAAAGACUCAAUUUAAAACCCAAGUUUUGAAGGAUCCCUUUCCCAGUCUUCAGUGCUAGUGCAAUUCUCCUCUGAGAUUACUUUUGAUCUUCUCUGUGUAUGUCUUGUAUGGACACAAAUCUUUAAAUCCCCUGCCCCUAAAGAAGGCAAGAACUAGGUUAUUCUCUUUCUUUUUAUUCUGAGUAUGAACGAUUGUCUUGAACAGGGUUGAAAUCUAUGCAGUGCUUCUUAACUAACUGAUUGGAUAGAUUGCUGCAAUUGGUGUCCAAAGACCCGGGAAAAAAAUCCUGCCUUAAAUAUGACUUCAUUAAAAACUUUGUGACUCUAGGCAAACCAUUUGGAAAGUGGGUAUAGUAACUACCAACACUGAUUGUUUUCAUCUCUACUGGAAUAGUAAAUGUAAAGGACUUUGUAAACUUUAAAGUGUUAAGGCUUAAAACCAUACUCUCUAAACAGGUGAAUUUGAUGGCAUAAUAGGAAGAACAGUAGUUUUGAAAUCCAAAAACACGGGUUCAAAUUCUGACCCUGCUACCUUUCCCUAUGGCCUUUGGUAAGUCAUUUUUCAGGGGCUCAGUUUCCUCAUCUAUAAAAUAAGGAGAUUGGACUAGAUGAUCUUGAAGGUCUCUUCCAACUCUGAAUCUGUGACCCUAAAUUAACUCAUCAAAGGUCAUUUCCUUGGAAAGCAAGAACCAUGUCCUUUAGUCUUGGCCAAGCCUUUGAUUUCUCACUGUGUCUCUGGGAUGAACUCCAGAAUAUGCUAAUCUGAGGGAUUCAGUGAUGAAAGAACUUCAUCAGAGAAAAGGCCCUCUCCUACUAUUUGUUCUAUUCCUCUGCCCUACUUGUUUUUUUUCUUAAACCCUUACUUUCUAUCCUAAUCACAAUGCAAAGACAGAAGGAAGGGCAAGAACAAGGCAAAUGAAGUUAAGUGACUUGCCCAGGGUCAGGCAGCUAGGAAGGUUCUAAAUCCAGAUUAGAAUCCAGAUCUCCUUGACUCCAAAAGCCUGGUACUCUAACCACUGAGCAAAUUAGUUUCCCCCUCUCUGCCCUACUUUUGAUGGGUUUGAUUUUUCCCUCCUUUCCUAUUUUCUGCUUUUUUGUAUUAACAGCUUGCCCUCUCAAUUGCCAGGCGUUUCACCUCUGCAUUUUAAUUUUCUUCUGAGCUGUUUACAGCAACUACUUCUAUGUUCCAGUGCCUAGUUCCUUGCCCUCCAUCUGCUAAUUAUGCUCUUUAACUUUCAUUCCAUUUGGACUGUUCCACACUAGGUUUAACCAUUCACCUUUCCUAUCCCUGUUUUCUUACAGAAUCCCCUAGAAUUUUAAUCUCAUCUUCCUUGUGUGAGCUUGCUCUCACUUUACUACCCUUUUGUUAGCUCUUGGCACCCUAAAUAGAGCCUCACAGGCAUAAGUCACAUCCAAUAACUUUUAUUUCCAUUCCCUUAUAUUCUAGGGUCUUUUUUUAAGUGUCAUUUACACUGUAUUUGCCUUUCUGCUGACAAAGUGAGAUCUUUGUUCUAAGUAUGCAAGCUACACACACACACACACACACACACACACACACGUACACACACACACACACACACACACACACAGAUGCAAAGAGCUUAAAAUGCUGAAAUAACAGCCAAGAUAAUACUAGAUUCUUGGCUUACGUGCAGGAGGGACAAUCUGUCUUGACUUCUGUUGGGAACUUUUCCUGUUGGAUUGCUCUCUUGGGGGAGUCUUGUCUAUCCAGAUUGAUCUCUCCUAGGAGUGGGCAUCUCAUUUUGGGAAUUGUUCCUAAGAAACUGGGCUGGUUUCAUGGCCCGCUGAGUGAGGCCAAAGGAGGAGCCACUUUGAUUCAUUAUUUCAGUGGUAAUGGCCCUUCCUCAAAAAAAAAAAAAAAGCAUAUUUAAUCAGGCAGGUGGUCCUUUGUUCUAUGGCAUGCAUGGCAUCAUGGGUAGUUUCAUCCUCCUCUAUCUGGAAAAAAAAGUAGCCUUGGCAUUAGGUUUGGUUUGGAUACUGAUCUACAGUGUUAGCUUUCAUUUCCACCUUUCCUUGUGUUAUAAUCAGUGGGAGGAAGUGGCACUGAAAUUGCUAGGAUAAAAUGCCUUACUAAGUAUGUUUAGCAUGGACCUGAUUUGGCAUCAUCACAGCAUACUGUCUUAGGCAGUCCUGUCUCUGUCAAGAGUUUUUCAUCACUGAAUCCCCCAGGUUAUGUUCUGGAGUUCAUCCCAGAGACAUGCUAAGAAAUAAAAGGAUUGGACAAGACUGAAGGACAUGGUUGUUACUUUUCUUGAAGGAGUGGAUGAGGAUGACUUUAAGCCAAAUGGAGAGGAUGAUGGGGUCCACUUCUGAACAAUAGAUUUGACCGUGUUCUCCAGCUGCUGGAUUCCAGCUUCUCUUCAAUAAACCAUCUCUGUGUAACAGAAAAGAGCAGUAGGGUAUUACCACCAUACCAAAUAAUGCAUUCAACUCUAUGCUCAUGCAUGCUGAAUUCUAACUCGGGCAUUCCUCUCAAACGUCCUCAGUGUGGUAUAGUGGGGAAAACGCUGCAUGUGGAGUCAGAGGAAAUGGGUUCAACUCCUGCUUCUUUCCUGCCUUUGUGUGACUUUAAGCAAGUCAUUAGAGUUCUUUGCACCUCAGUUUCCUCAUCCUUCAUCUGAAAAAAUGAGGGGUUGGAUUAACUGACCUCAUAGGGGGAUCAAACAUUAUCUAAGUAUGGGGACAUCAGUGGCCACACAACUGAGGCUUAGGGAUGUUAAUUGACUUACCUGAAGUCAUUCAGGGAAGAUAACAGGCUUUGGGAUUCAAUCCUAGUCUUUUGACUCCCAAUCCAAUCACUUUCUCCAACCCUAGUGCCUCCUGAACCAGAAAUCUGACACAACAAGGUUGCCCUUCCCCAAAUAUAAAGAAGCAGCAUCUCUAGGAGAAUGAUGCUUUUUCUAGUGAUAUUUGGUCAUAGAGCAAAUUAUAGGAUUUAGAGUGGGAAGAGGCCUUCAGAACCAUCUACUUCAAUGCCUUUAUUUUAUUGAUGUGGAAACAAAGAGCCAAAGAUAUUCAAUUAACUUGUCCAGAGUUAAAUGGGUAAUAAGUGGCAGAGAGGGGUUUUGAACCAAGAGCCUCUGACUCAAAAUCUCUUUGAGAUCUUUCUUCCUCAGUCUGUUUCAAAAGCUUGUGAACACUAGUAAUCAGAUAUUUUCCCAGCCUUAAAGAAUUUUGGUGACAAGAGCUUGCUCAAGAGACCAUCUGCUUCUUCCUUAUAGACACUGAAACUAUUUUUGUAUGUUAAAAAGAGUUACAAAAUGUAGGUAUGGCAUAUGCUACCGUAUUCUUUAAAAAAGUGCAUUCUGGUUUACAGAAGACUAGACAUGGACUAAGGAGAACCUAGAUUCAAAUCCUGCCUUUCAUAUUUACUAGUCAUGUAAACAUGGGUAAGUCACAGGUCUCUGAUGUCUUGAGUUAGUUCAAGGCUAGUGCUCUGUGCACAUUGUCUUCAUGGUUAGUAUACUUGCAAUUUGCAUAAGUUAUUCUAUAGAGAAUGGUGUUUCUGUAUGAAACUAGGCAAGUCAAUUAAUUAUCCCAGUUUCCACAUUUGUAAAAUGGAAAUAAUAAAAGCACUUACUUCCCAGAGUUGUAAAGAUAAUGUUUAUAAAGGGCUUUGCACAUCUUAAGGUGAUACAUAAAUAUCAUCAUCCUCACUAUCAUUGUUAAUGUCUCAUUGCCCAAUAUUCUUAGACUAUUAGAAGAUUACUAUUGUUGUUAUUACCUCAUGGUCUCCAAGGAUGUUGGUUAUCAAGACAUGAUCAAUUGAAUCAUGAAACAAAACACCCUAUUUUAUUCAAUUAUACUUUUCUAUAUUUAAAAAAUUAAAAUAAUUGGACCUAGAAACUACUCAAUAAUAAAUUUUUAAAAGUGAUUAAGAAUUUAGAGUAUUUUUUUUAAGACAGGAAAACAUAGGUCCAGUUAUUUAGCCACUUCAUAGACUUUUAGACAUAAAAUGGACUUUUGAUAUUUAUUCCAAUUUCCCUCAUUUUAACAAUGUCAAACCUGAUGGAUGGACAUUUGAAGCAACUUGCAUUUAGAAAAUUGUUCAUGUUUUCUCCAUCCAUGAUUAGUGUCAUUCUGGUUUUGUUUUUUGGCUCACUUUUUUUUUAAACCCUUACCUUCUGUCUUGGAGUCAAUACUGUGUAUUGGCUCCAAGGCAGAAGAGCAGUAAGAGCUAGGCAAUGGGGGUCAAGUGACUUGCCCAGGGUCACACAGCUGGGAAGUGUCUGAGGUCAAAUUUGAUCCUAGGACCUCCCGUCUCUAGGCUUGACUCUCAAUCCACUGAGCCACCCAGUUGCCCCUUAUGUCUCACUUUUACCAAGUCUACCUCUUCUUUGAAAUAGAACAUUUCUAGGGAGCUUCAGAUCAGCUUUGUAUCAAAAGCCUUUAAGGUACCUUUUAUUUAUUCUCUGAUCUCUUUAUAGCCACACACACACACACACACACACACACACACACACACACACACACACACACACACACACACACACCCUAGCUGGUUUUUACCAGAGGAAACUCCAUAUUUAUCUAAUUUCUAUUCUACAGCCUUCUUUUUCUCAUUUAUCUCAGCUUAUAAGGAUAUCUAAUUUCAUCAGAGUGGCCAACCCCUCAGGUCGCAACCCAUAUCUUCUUUGGUAGAUCACCAAAUAAUUCAUUACUGAGUGGCCAAACUAUGAAUUAUGGAUUGCUUUGUGCUUAGCUCUGUUACUCCUAAAAAACCAGAUGGUGUUCACAAGUGUUGGUGGCCAAAAGCAAAACUAAAGCCCCUAUAACCAAUAUAGGGACGAGUUCUUUCAACUUAUCAAAAUUGGUGGUCACAGUUCUUUGAUGGAUUCAUACCCAAUAUCUUUCUAGCUUGGUAGAAUCAUCCAGGGCUGAUAUAACCUUAGAGAAUUCAGGGUCACUUUCACACAAUGACAAGGCAAUAGAUUUAAAUCACGAAGGGACUUCAGAUGUUAUUGAGUCUAACAACCUCAUUUUACAGUUGAGGAAACUGGGACCCAAAGAAGUAAAGGGGCUUGCCAAAGUUGUUUAUAUAAUAAACCACAAAUUCUGUUAAUCAAAUCCAUGUCCCCCAUCUCUACAUUCAAACUCCUUUUUUCCACUGAGCCUUGUUUUUGUGGACAUUGCUACCCUUCCUUAUCCCAUUGGUCAAAUAAUUCAAUUCAAUAGACAUUUAUUGAAUAAAAGGAAAAGCAUUUCUUCAGCUUCUAAUAUGUUCCAGGACCUGUGCUAGACUAUGGGGAUACAGCUUCCAAAGGGAGAUAAUCUCUACUCUUACAAGGCUUGAAUUCUAAUAAUAGCAGACAGCUCAUAGUGGUGGCUAGAGAAAUUUAGUCUUUGAAUUCAUGAAAAGUCUAUGAAGCCAUAGAGCAAUGGAUAAACACACCCUUUUCCAGAAGCAAUGGUGGUAUUGACUGAAUUACUGCUCCCAGAACAAAUAGUGAAAAGUGAACUAUUAGGAAUAGGUGCACACCAAAGUGGAAUCAUCAUACCUGGAGGUCUGACCAGAAGAGAGCUUGUUCAUUGCAGUGCAAAAAACUUGAGGGCAUGGAUUGUAUUUUAUUUUAUUUUUUUCCUAGCACUUCAUGUCAAGUCUGGUACAUAGUAAAUAUCACUUAUUAAUUAAUAAUAAUAGAAUAAUAGAAAUAGAAUAAUAGAAUAAUAGAAAAGAGCAUUAAAGCUUGCAAAAUAUUUUACAAAUAUCAUCACAUUUGAUCCUGAUGACAAACCUGGGAAGUAGAUGUUAUAUAUUGCCCCAUUUUACAAAUGAGGAGAUUGAGGCAGAAAGAGAUUGACUUGUCCAGGAUCACACAGAUAGUAAGAAUAUACUUAGAUCUGAGAUCUUACUAACUCUAGGUCCACAUUCAAUCUACUGCACCAUCUAACUAUCUCUGCUUAUUGAUUGAUUGAUUUGGGCAAUAGGGAAGCCCAAAGGGGAAAGAACAAAUAUUUACAUAGCACCUACCACAUGCCAGACUCUCUGCUAAAUGACUGACAAAUACCUUCUCAUUCCAUCUUCACAACAACCCUAUGGGGUAGAUUUUUUGAUUGCUUGUCAGGGAGGGCGGGAAGUGGGGCAGGGACAAAGCACUUGACAGCAUACAUAUGUAUGAAGAGCCUUGGAUGGUUUUCCUCUCAAUCAACAGCUGUCACUUUCCCCUUCCUCCUCCCUUUCCAAUCAGGUAUCUGGUGGCCUGAUAUUUAGUCAUUAAUUUUCACCAAAUUCAAUUUCCACUUUUAAUUAUAAAUCAUUUCUUUUAGAAACUUUCCUUCAUUGACAGGCCUCUGAGAGGUCCAACACAGGCUUACUUUCUGCCUAAGGGCUUGGAAGUUACAAAAAUCCUAACCAGCUUUUAGAACUUGCCUUUUAAAAGGCAAGUUCUUUUUAGAACUUGCCCAUUUUAAAAAGAAAAUAACAAGUGUUUAAAGAAAGAGCCAAAGUGAUUUUUCCCCCCAGGGUGGACAGUUUUACUCUGAAGCUGGCACCAUAUGUCAUUAGGUCAUCUGAAAAAUUUCCUUAUCCAGCAUGGCUGAGUCAUUCUUCAUGACAUAGGAACACUCCAUUUAAUUUUCUCUGAGUCUCCCAUAAACAACACCUUGCCAUGAGAGUUCUUUUGAUGGGCCCAUCUUAAUGCCAGGCAUGGAAAGAGAAAUUGUGACACAUCCUUCUUAAACUUCCUCCAGACGUUAAUAAUGUAAACCCAAGUGACAUUCUCCCUUCUUGGAAGAAAGCAGGGUUCUUCUGCCAUCUGGACUCAGGGUACUUUGAAAUAUCUCUGUAGCAUUGAGCACAUUCUGGAUUACAGUAUUAUUAAGAGUGGUCAUGCCUUAUUGAAAACUUGGUAACUCACAAUGGACUAUAAACUAAUUGAGAUCAGGGUUUUCAAUAGAUAUCAAAUUGUUAGAGUAUUUAAAAAUAUUACUUAUUGCUUGGAUUGUUCUUAUGUCAAGAGUAAAACAUUGGAUACAACUGAACAUAUUUCAUCUCUUUCUGGAGGGAGUGAUUGCAUUACAACACAUUUAGCUACCAGAUGACCCUUCUAGCCAAUGCCCGAUUUUAUUCAUCAAGAAAGUUCAGAAGCUGGGCAAGUCCCCACAUCACUGUGAUGGUUAUGACAGUUCACUCCAUUGAAGCAAUAAGGAAGUACCAGUUGUCUAUCAUUUCUAUAGUGUGUGACUUUCUUAUCUCCCAGCUCCCACUAUCUAUGGAUUAUGUGAUCAUAGACUUGGAACUACAAGAGACCCUAAAGGGCACUGAGUCCAACCUUUUUAUUUUAAAGAACAGAAAACUAAUAAUAUGACAGAAGAGGAAAAUAAUAAAUGCUGGCAGGGAUGUGGCAAAACGGGCACCCUAAUGUACUACUAGUGGAAUUCUGAACCAAUCCAAUCAGUCUAGAGAGUGAUUUGGAAGUAUGCCCACAGAACUUUAAAACUGUAAACACCUGUUGAUCCAGCAAUACCCAAGUAGGUUUGUAUCCCAAAGAGAUUUUUUUGAAGGGCAAAGGACCCAUUUGUACAAAAAUAUUUUUACCAGCUCUUUUUUGUGGAGACAAAGAAUUGGAAACUGAGGACAUGUCCAUCAAUUGGGGAAUGGCUAAACCAGUUGUGAUAUAUGAUUGUAAUAGAAUACUACUGUGCUAUAAGAAAUGAUGUGAAGUAUUAUUUAAGAAAAUUCUGGAAAGGCUUACAUGAACUGAUAUACAGUAAAGUGUGCAGAAUCAGGAGAACAUGAAACAUAGUAAUAACAAUGUUAUAUGAUGAGCAUUUAUGAAUAAUUAACUAUUCCUAGUAGCCAAUGCAGUCAUUUAAGAAAAUCCUCAAGGACACCUAAUGAAAAAUGGCAUCCACCUCCAGAGAAAGAACUGAUGGAAUCUGAAUAUACGAGACAUGACAUAUUUCAUGUUAUUGCUUCACUUUUUUUCAUUUGUUUGAGUUCCCUUUUCACACAUGUAAUAAUUUCUAUCAGAUUGCCUUCUCUUAUAGGGAGAGGAGGGAUGGUGAGAAUUUGACUCAAAUAUCUUUUAAAAUGAAGGUUAAAUUUUUUUUUUCAUAUAAUGGAGGAAAAAUUAAGUAUUAAUUUUUUUAAAUUUUAAAUUAAUUAAUUUAGUCAAUUUAGAACAUUAUUCCUUGGUUAAAAUAAUCACAUUAUUUCCCUCCCUCCCCUCCAACCACCCUUCCCAAAACCGAUGCACAAUUUCACUGGGUAUCACUUGUGUCAUUGAUCAGAACCUAUUUCCAUGUUGUUGAUGUUUGCACUAGGAUGUUUAUUUAGAGUCUAUAUCCCCAGCCAUAUCCCCUCGACCCAUGUAUUCAAGCAGUUGUUUUCUUCUGUGUUUCUACUCCCACAGUUUUUCCUCUGAAUGUGAAUAGUGGUUUUUCUCAUAGAUUUCUCCAAGUUGUUUAUAAUCACUGCAUUGCCACUAAUGGAGAAGUCCAUUACAUUCAAUUGUACCACAGGGUAUCAGUAUCUGUGUACAAUGUUUUCCUGGUUCUGCUCCUCUCAAGCUGCAUUAAUUACUUGAGGUUGUUCCAGUUCCCAUGGAAUUCCUCCACUUUAUUAUUCCUUUGAGCACAAUAGUAUUCCAUCACCAACAGAUACCACAAUUUUUUCAGCCAUUCUCCAAUGGAAGGGCAUCCCUUCAUUUUCCAAUUUUUUGCCACCACAAAGAGCACAGCUAUGAAUAUUCUUUUAAAUGUCUUUUUCCUUAUUUUCUCCUUGGGGUGCAAACCCAGAUGGCUGGAUCAAAGGGCAGACAGUCUUUUAGUGCCCUUUGGGCAUAGUUCCAAAUUGCCCUCCAGAUCAAUUCACAACUCCACCAGCAAUGCAUUAAUGUCCCAACUUUGCCACAUCCCCUCCAGCAUUCAUUAUUUUCCUUUGCUGUCAUGUUAGUCAAUCUGCUAGGUGUGAUGUGAUACCUCAGAGUUGUUUUGAUUUGCAUUUCUCUGAUUAUAAGAGAUUUCAAACAUUUUUUUCAUGUGCUUAUUAAUAAUUUUGAUUUCUUUAGCUGAAAAGUGCCUAUUCAUAUCCCUGGCCCAUUUAUCAAUUGGAGAAUGGCUUGAUUUUUUUGUACAGUUGGUUUAGCUUUUUAUGAAUUUGGGUAAUUAGACCUUUGAAAGGGGUUUUUGUUAUGAAGAUUAUUUCCCAAUUUGUUGCUUCUCUUCUAAUUUUGGAUUCAAUA